AACUUUCGGCAAUGGAUCACUUGGCUCUCGCAUCGAUGAAGAACGCAGCGAAAUGCGAUAAGUUAUGUGAAUUGCAGAAUUCAGUGAAUCAUCGAAUCUUUGAACGCACCUUGCGCCCUUUGGCUAUUCCGAAGGGCAUGCCUGUUUGAGUAUCAUGAACACCUCAACUCUCAUGGCUUGCCAUGAUGAGCUUGGACUUUGGGGGUCUUGUUGACCUGUGAGCCAACUCCUAGUGAAUGAAUUAGCUUGGUGGUGUUUGAUGGCGUCACGGGUGUGAUAACUAUCUACGCUUGUGGUUUCCCACCACGUAACCUUCAGCAAUGGAGGUUCGUCGGAGCUUAUAAAUGUCUCUCCUCGACGAGGACACAUUUUGACCAUUUGAUCUCAAAUCAGCUAGGACUACCCGCUGAACUUAAGCAUAUCAAUAAGCGGAGGCU
rnacentral:misc_RNA from 1 species